rnacentral:rRNA from 1 species
GGAUUAGAUACCCUGGUAGUCCACGCCGUAAACGAUGUCAACUAGUCGUCGGGAGGGUUUGCCACUCGGUGACGCAGCUAACGCAUUAAGUUGACCGCCUGGGGAGUACGCCGGCAACGGUAAAACUCAAAGGAAUUGACGGGGGCCCGCACAAGCGGUGGAGCAUGUGGUUUAAUUCGAUGCAACGCGAAGAACCUUACCUGGCCUUGACAUCCUCGGAACUUACUAGAGAUAGUUUGGUGCCUUCGGGAACCGAGUGACAGGUGCUGCACGGCUGUCGUCAGCUCGUGCCG